GGCUGGUCCAGGUGCGGUGGUGUUUGCAGCUAAUUGAUCACAGCCAGAGAUUUGUUUCUUCUCCACUCGCACUGUGUCACUUGACUAGCUUUAA
ensembl:misc_RNA Y_RNA Y RNA